CAAACUGAAGAUGGCGACCGGCGCACGGGUGAGUAACACGUAUCCAACCUGCCGAUAACUCCGGAAUAGCCUUUCGAAAGAAAGAUUAAUACCGGAUAGUAUACGAAUAUCGCAUGAUAUUUUUAUUAAAGAAUUUCGGUUAUCGAUGGGGAUGCGUUCCAUUAGUUUGUUGGCGGGGUAACGGCCCACCAAGACUACGAUGGAUAGGGGUUCUGAGAGGAAGGUCCCCCACAUUGGAACUGAAACACGGUCCAA
rnacentral:rRNA from 1 species